rnacentral:rRNA from 1 species
AUUGAACGCUGGCGGCAGGCCUAACACAUGCAAGGCGAGCGGGGAAUUCGGUGCUAGCGGCGAACGCGCGAGUAACGGGUGGGACACUGCCCAGCAGUCGGGGAUAACGCCCCGGAAGGGACGCUAAUACCGCAUAAGUGCUACGGGAGAAAGAGGGGGAUCUUCGGACGUCUCGCUAGUGGUUGUGGCCAAGGCGGAUUAGCUAGUUGGUAGGGUAAUGGCCUACCAAGGCGACGAUCCGUAGCUGGUCUGAGAGGAUGAUCAGCCACACUGGAACUGAGACACGGUCCAGACUCCUACGGGAGGCAGCAGUGGGGAAUAUUGGACAAUGGGCGAAAGCCUGAUCCAGCCAUGCCGCGUGUGUGAAGAAGGCCUUCGGGUUGUAAAGCACUUUAAGCGGGGAGGAAGGUUCGCGGCCUAAUACGUCGCGGAAUUGACGUUACCCGCAGAAUAAGCACCGGCUAACUCUGUG